ACGCUGGCUGUGUGCCUAAUACAUGCAUGUCGAGCGAGGUUAGCAAUAACCUAGCGGCGAAUGGGUGAGUAACACGUGCUUAAUCUACCUUUUAGAUUGGAAUACCCAUUGGAAACAAUGGCUAAUGCCGGAUACGCAUGGAACCGCAUGGUUCCGUUGUGAAAGGCGCUGUAAGGCGCCACUAAAAGAUGAGGGUGCGGAACAUUAGUUAGUUGGUGAGGUAAUGGCCCACCAAGACUAUGAUGUUUAGCCGGGUCGAGAGACUGAACGGCCACAUUGGGACUGAGAUACGGCCCAAACUCCUACGGGAGGCAGCAGUAGGGAAUAUUCCACAAUGAGCGAAAGCUUGAUGGAGCGACACAGCGUGCACGAUGAAGGUCUUCGGAUUGUAAAGUGCUGUUAUAAGGGAAGAACAUUUGCAAUAGGAAAUGAUUGCAGACUGACGGUACCUUGUCAGAAAGCGGUGGCUAACUAUGUGCCAGCAGCCGCGGUAAUACAUAGGUCGCAAGCGUUAUCCGGAAUUAUUGGGCGUAAAGCGUUCGUAGGCUGUUUGUUAAGUCUGGAGUUAAAUCCCGGGGCUCAACCCCGGCUCGCUUUGGAUACUAGCAAACUAGAGUUAGAUAGAGGUAAGCGGAAUUCCAUGUGAAGCGGUGAAAUGCGUAGAUAUAUGGAAGAACACCAAAGGCGAAGGCAGCUUACUGGGUCUAUACUGACGCUGAGGGACGAAAGCGU
rnacentral:rRNA from 1 species